rnacentral:rRNA from 1 species
CAACAGGGAUUGCCCUAGUAACGGCGAGUGAAGCGGCAACAGCUCAAAUUUGAAAUCUGGCCCUCUUUGGGGGUCCGAGUUGUAAUUUGCAGAGGGUGCUUUGGUGUUGACAGCGGUCUAAGUUCCUUGGAACAGGACGUCACAGAGGGUGAGAAUCCCGUACGUGGCCGCUUGCCUCCGCCGUGUAAAGCCCCUUCGACGAGUCGAGUUGUUUGGGAAUGCAGCUCUAAAUGGGAGGUAAAUUUCUUCUAAAGCUAAAUACUGGCCAGAGACCGAUAGCGCACAAGUAGAGUGAUCGAAAGAUGAAAAGCACUUUGGAAAGAGAGUCAAACAGCACGUGAAAUUGUUGAAAGGGAAGCGCUUGCAGCCAGACUUGCCCGUAGUUGCUCACCCGGACUUUUGCCCGGGGCACUCUUCUGCGGGCAGGCCAGCAUCAGUUUGGGCGACCGGAUAACGGCCUCUGUCAUGUAUCUUCCUCCGGGAUGACCUUAUAGGGGAGGCGUAAUGCGGCCAGCCUGGACUGAGGUCCGCGCUUCGGCUAGGAUGCUGGCGUAAUGGCUGUAAGCGGCCCGUCUUGAAACACGGACCAAGGAGUCUAACAUCUAUGCGAGUGUUUGGGUGUCAAGCCCGGGCGCGUAAUGAAAGUGAACGGAGGUGGGAACCCUUUCGGGGGCGCACCAUCGACCGAUCCUGAUGUCUUCGGAUGGAUUUGAGUAAGAGCAUAGCUGUUGGGACCCGAAAGAUGGUGAACUAUGCUUGAAUAGGGUGAAGCCAGAGGAAACUCUGGUGGAGGCUCGCAGCGGUUCUGACGUGCAAAUCGAUCGUCAAAUUUGGGCAUAGGGGCGAAAGACUAAUCGAACU